AUACCCCUGAGCCUCAUUCCCUGUUCUGGUUUGAGGGCCCCUGGUUUGCAAACCGUCUCAUUGUUUUGUCAACAGUAAACUUUUACUAAUUAUUGUUUCAAUGGUUAAAUGGAUUUACUUCUGUCAUUUCUGAACUUUUGAGAUCUCAUGGAUCCAAAGAAGAUCCCCCAAAGACUCUGAGGCUGGUGACGAAACAGAUGCCGCUACCCACAGAGCACACUGAGCUCCCUGCUUUCUCCCCAACCCUGGAGACUGAGGAAACUGGAUUGGAUCCUGAAUUCUAGUUUCUUCCAAUAUGUGGCUACAACUCUCCAAGCUAACGUUUCCAAUUUUCUCCCACUCUUAUGACUUGGAAUCAUCAUGAAACUAAAACUGACCAUUUCCCAAAGCUGUGGGAGCUAAAGCUGAAAAGCUUGAUAGAAACUUUGGAGAAAUCACCACAACAACUCCUCUGUGGACAAUCUUCAGGCCUGUGGCUCUAUGGCCACUCAGAAAGAUCACUAGAGACAUUCAAGUUGCAAACCAGGAAAAGACGUCAGAUUCCCACUGUUUGCUCUCACUCCAUCUGAAGACGCUUGGAACCCAACAUCUAGCAAUCUUUUCAACUGACUGUUCUCCAAACUCCAAAACUAAAUUUGCUAUAAUUUGCUAAAACUAUUAACCUUUGUAUUUCUUUGGUUUUCAUAUAAAUGCAUCUCAUUAAAUUACCUGAUGGCUCAUACCAUAUAGAGGCCUCACUGAGAUGGAAGCUCACCUACAACACCACCUCCUGACAUAAAAGACCUUCACAUUCAUUUUGGCCUAAGUAAUCAUGAGGAUAUAUAAUUGUUAAUACAUCAUGUUGUGUCUAUGGAAAUAACUUUUUAAGAAAGAAACCCAUUUGAGUUAUUUAACUGGUUACAUCUUGGCUCCUGGGAAUCUCUACUCUGGGAAAUUUUUCAAUCCUUGAUUAUUGUUCUCCUUACAGUCAUAUUAACCUCUCUAGUGCAUCGUAUAUUGAACUCAAUGCCUGUCAGCAGCCACCCACAUGCCAAAUGGUAUCCAUUAGGAUAGGACAACUGAGUAAAAGAAACAACAAUCCUAUCAAUGAUAAAGAUGGUUACUACAUGGCCCCUCAAGUGGAUGAAAACACUGAGUGUGUGAUUUUUCAGCCUAACCACAUCAACAGUGGUAACUGAGAAUAACGCUAUACCGGUUGGUCAUACUCUCAGCCUGCUUAGAGAAUGACCAAAAGGGAGGAUUUGUUAAAACCAAAAACAGAGACCAACCUUGAGAAUUCUCUGAGCAGACAAAACUAGUUUAGUCAUACAAAGAAAGUUUAAUUUAGCUUGUUUUCCAAGAUUAACUUGACCUGGGUCAUUUCUUGCUUAUGCCUCUGGAAAUCGUAAGUAAAACUUGAACUGUGUCCCCAAAUUGAUAGGAGAUAACCACUGACCAAUUCCCCAUCAUUUAAGAAAAUUCUAUUAUAACCAAACACUAUGAAGAAUAAACAGUCAUUGUCUUAUUAUAUAAGCUGCUUUACAACAAUAUACUCCUAAGCCUCAUUCCAUGUUUUGGUUCAAGUGCUCCAGCAGUGCAGACUGUCUUUUUGGUGUGUGCACAAUAAACUUUUACUAAUUACUACUUCA